rnacentral:rRNA from 1 species
GAUUGAACGCUGGCGGCAUGCUUUACACAUGCAAGUCGAACGGUAACAGCACUUCGGUGGCUGACGAGUGGCGAACGGGUGAGUAAUACAUCGGAACGUGCCUAGUAGUGGGGGAUAACUACUCGAAAGAGUAGCUAAUACCGCAUGAGAUCUAAGGAUGAAAGCAGGGGACCUUCGGGCCUUGCGCUACUAGAGCGGCUGAUGGCAGAUUAGGUAGUUGGUGGGAUAAAAGCUUACCAAGCCGACGAUCUGUAGCUGGUCUGAGAGGACGACCAGCCACACUGGGACUGAGACACGGCCCAGACUCCUACGGGAGGCAGCAGUGGGGAAUUUUGGACAAAGGGCGCAAGCCUGAUCCAGCAAUGCCGCGUGCAGGAUGAAGGCCUUCGGGUUGUAAACUGCUUUUGUACGGAACGAAAAGCCCUCUUCUAAUACAGGAGGGUCAUGACGGUACCGUAAGAAUAAGCACCGGCUAACUACGUG